rnacentral:RNase_P_RNA from 2 species
GGAGUUAACCAGACAGUCGCUGCUUUACCGUUGUCCCAAUAUGGGAAACGGGGUGGGGGAGGAAAGUCCGGGCUCCAUAGGGCAGGGUGCCAGGUAACGCCUGGGAGGUGUAAACCUACGACAAGUGCAACAGAGAGAAAACCGCCUAUGGCCCCUAACGGGAUCAGGUAAGGGUGCAAGGGUGCGGUAAGAGCGCACCGCGCGGCUGGUAACAGUUCGCGGCACGGUAAACUCCACCCGGAGCAAGGCCAAAUAGAGGUUCUCAUGGUAUGGCCCGUACUGAACCCGGGUAGGCUGCUUGAGCUAGUGCGUGAGUACUGGCCUAGAUGAAUGACUGUCCACGACAGAACCCGGCUUAACGGUUAACUCCAUUA